rnacentral:rRNA from 1 species
UACGAAGGGGGCUAGCGUUGCUCGGAAUCACUGGGCGUAAAGCGCACGUAGGUGGAUCGCUAAGCCAGGGGUGAAAUCCUGGAGCUCAACUCCAGAACUGCCUUUGAUACUGGCAAUCUCGAGUCCGGGAGAGGUGAGUGGAACUGCGAGUGUAGAGGUGAAAUUCGUAGAUAUUCGCAAGAACACCAGUGGCGAAGGCGGCUCACUGGCCCGGUACUGACGC